rnacentral:rRNA from 1 species
AACGCGAAGAACCUUACCUCGGCUUGACAUGCACCUGGUACCGAAGGGAAACCUGAGGGACCCGCAAGGGAGGGUGCACAGAUGCUGCAUGGCUGUCGUCAGCUCGUGCCGUGAGGUGUUGGGUUAAGUCCCGCAACGAGCGCAACCCUUGUCCUUAGUUGCCAUCUCUAAGGAGACCGCCGGUCUAAACCGGAGGAAGGUGGGGAUGACGUCAAGUCAGCACGGCUCUUACGUCGAGGGCUACACACACGCUACAAUGGCCGGUACAACGGGCUGCGAAGGGGCGACCUGGAGCUAAUCCCACCAAAGCCGGUCUCAGUUCGGAUCGCAGGCUGCAACUCGCCUGCGUGAAGUCGGAGUUGCUAGUAACUGCUGGUCAGCACACAGCAGUGAAUACGUUCCCGGGCCUUGUA